rnacentral:rRNA from 1 species
GACGAACGCUGGCGGCGUGCUUAACACAUGCAAGUCGAACGGAAAGGCCCUGCUUUUGUGGGGUGCUCGAGUGGCGAACGGGUGAGUAACACGUGAGUAACCUGCACUUGACUUUGGGAUAACUUCAGGAAACUGGGGCUAAUACCGGAUAGGAGCUCCUGCUGCAUGGUGGGGGUUGGAAAGUUUCGGCGGUUGGGGAUGGACUCGCGGCUUAUCAGCUUGUUGGUGGGGUAGUGGCUUACCAAGGCUUUGACGGGUAGCCGGCCUGAGAGGGUGACCGGCCACAUUGGGACUGAGAUACGGCCCAGACUCCUACGGGAGGCAGCAGUGGGGAAUAUUGCACAAUGGGCGGAAGCCUGAUGCAGCAACGCCGCGUGCGGGAUGACGGCCUUCGGGUUGUAAACCGCUUUCGCCUGUGACGAAGCGUGAGUGACGGUAAUGGGUAAAGAAGCACCGGCUAACUAUGUG